rnacentral:rRNA from 1 species
GAUGAACGCUGGCGGCGUGCCUAAUACAUGCAAGUCGAGCGAACAAACGAGGAGCUUGCUCCUCUGACGUUAGCGGCGGACGGGUGAGUAACACGUGGAUAACCUACCUAUAAGACUGGGAUAACUUCGGGAAACCGGAGCUAAUACCGGAUAAUAUAUUGAACCGCAUGGUUCAAUAGUGAAAGACGGUUUUGCUGUCACUUAUAGAUGGAUCCGCGCCGCAGUAGCUAGUUGGUAAGGUAACGGCUUACCAAGGCGACGAUGCGUAGCCGACCUGAGAGGGUGAUCGGCCACACUGGAACUGAGCCACGGUCCAGACUCCUACGGGAGGCAGCAGUAGGGAAUCUUCCGCAAUGGGCGAAAGCCUGACGGAGCAACGCCGCGUGAGUGAUGAAGGUCUUCGGAUCGUAAAACUCUGUUAUUAGGGAAGAACAAAUGUGUAAGUAACUAUGCACGUCUUGACGGUACCUAAUCAGAAAGCCACGGCUAACUACGUG